CUUUGCCAUCACGCCUGUGGACUUCUGUAGCCGUUCUGAGAUGUAGGUGUCUUCUAGUGGAAAAUAUGCUGGCCUGUUCACCGUAAGUGGAGACGUUUGGACAGUAUGGCUGAUUCGUCCACCGGUUCCCGCAGUAGGCCUACUACAUCUGUUGCUCCAAGUGAUGACACGUCUGACGUCCAGGAGAACUGUGGUGUGACCGUAAUGCAAACCAGUAAUGAGGUUGGCUGCAGGAAAUGGGACAA